rnacentral:rRNA from 1 species
GAUGAACGCUGGCGGCGUGCCUAAUACAUGCAAGUCGAGCGAACGGACGAGAAGCUUGCUUCUCUGAUGUUAGCGGCGGACGGGUGAGUAACACGUGGAUAACCUACCUAUAAUACUGGGAUAACUUCGGGAAACCGGAGCUAAUACCGGAUAAUAUUUUGAACCGCAUUGUUCAAAAGUGAAAGACGGUCUUGCUGUCACUUAUAGAUGGAUCCGCGCUGCAUUAGCUAGUUGUUAAGGUAACGGCUUACCAAGGCAACGAUGCAUAGCCGACCUGAGAGGGUGAUCGGCCACACUGGAACUGAGACACGGUCCAGACUCCUACGGGAGGCAGCAGUAGGGAAUCUUACGCAAUGGGCGAAAGCCUGACGGAGCAACGCCGCGUGAGUGAUGAAGGUCUUCGGAUCGUAAAACUCUGUUAUUAGGGAAGAACAUAUGUGUAAGUAACUGUGCACAUCUUGACGGUACCUAAUCAGAAAGCCACGGCUAACUACGUG